UCCCCCCCCCCCCACUCUGAGUUUCCUGAAUGCAUCAAACUGACUCCCUACCGCCUGUUUGUUUUUAAUUAGAGAGGGAGACGUCAGAACUUCGUCUUAUUUACAUUGCAGUUUGCCACGGAAUAUGCCUGCAAGGGCUAUCCUUUCUAAAAUAAAACAUGAAGUGGGGGAAACAAGCACCAUUAAAAUUAUUUAAACGAGUCUAUAGCAAGAAGUUAUGUUUAUGACUGCACGCCUGUUCGGUGCUAAGCCUGCAAGCUGACAUUGCGAAAAUAUUAGCAGUGCAGUGUCGAAGCAGCAGUGUGGGUACCGUAUUGCAAAUACCUGGAUAAAUCCACCACUGUACAUUGCACUGAUAUAUGCAUCUGUACACUUCGUGCAAGUUGCAAUCUUAUAAUUCUUUGGAACUAGGAGAUCCACGCAGUCAACUUUGUCCAUGACCUUCCCAUUCGGUGGAGCGAUAUCACAGACUUCUAGUCCCAGUCCUUUCUGGAGGGACAGAAACGUUUAAGCGUCAUUGUCAUGGAGAAGGCGUCAAACUUUGCACUAAGUUGCAGUGGUAACGUGACAUUCCCGGGAAAUGGCCUUUUCAAGUUAGUACAGUGAAGGCAGCCUGAUCUCAGGAUAUAAGGAUGGCUUACAGCACGUUUCGCCAGACAGCACAAGUCAAACUAUGCAAAGGUAUAAUACAGUUAUCCUAUUCAAGGAAGGGAUUUGAAUUAGAGGAGGGCAAAGGAAGUGUUUCAAAGAUUCCCUGAAGACUUCCCUCAAGAAACGCAACAUUGAUGUUAACACAUGGGAGACCCUUGUUCAGAAGAAACCAACUUGGAGGAAAGUCCUAUAUGAAGGAACACCAUGCUUUGAGAACACCCAUUGGCAAGAGUAACUAUGGAAAACGAACCAGACAAAGGAAUCCCAAUGGUUUCAAGGCCAAGGACCAUUCUGACCUCCUGGAAACACUUGCUAAAUGUGUGGUCAUCUCAUCAGCCUCACAAGGACUCACAGAAUCAGUGACCAGUGACACAGAAUUUCUUGGAUGGAUAAUCAGAUUCAUUAGCUUGUGUUUUCCGAUGACAACAGUCCCACUGCACUGCAGUUGACUCUGAAUUGUCUGUUAAGAUCCCAGAUGAUGUUUUUACUGAACAAGUCAGAUAAAAGACUGAAACAUGGCUUAUUAGGUCAUAUUUUGUUUAUUUUUUGGUUUUAAUUAGGUGGUUUCAAAACCGAAACACAAGGACAAAAUGCUAUACGUUGGAUUUAUCAAUGAUAAUGAACUUUAUUAUGCAAAACAAAUGAAGACAGAGCAGAAUAAAUCAAACUAUUUUCACAUAACGCACAUUCAAAAAUUUGCACCACAUAGUCAAUCUCCCAGUGCAUGAAAUUGUUGGAAUUCUAAAGUGUAUUCCAGUGAAGCUAGGUUUGUAGUAGAUAGUAUGAGAGAACCCCUGGCAGAUUGUACUAUGAGUGCAUUAAGGAAAGGAGCAUAUUUGACUGGUCCAUUCCAAACUGCAUAUCCUUUGGCUGUUCACAAAUAAAGUUAAAAACCAUACCCAAACUUACAAAGUGCACAACAGAAAUUCCAAUAUUAGAUACAGUUCUGCAAUUGGACAGCAUUUGUUACUCAAUUCUGAGUGUGAGAAGAAAUAUAUUGACAAUUUAGAAUUGUCAGUCGGAUCAUAGUAUUGUACACUUGUGUGUACCGGAAGCUACAUAUAUGGAUUCACAAGAUAGAGUAUGUUGAUGCACUGUGCCUGUUUCAAUAUAACAAAAUAGAUGAAAGUCUUAUCUGCUUCACUUCUUUGGACACUGCCUUGACCAAUCAAAGUCAACCUACCUUGUUUAAAAUUUAAACAAAGAUUGGCAGUUAACUCUCAAUCAUCAUUCACAGAUUCUCUCUCCAUGGUAACACCUCUACCAAUUGGAGUCUGUUUGCCAAUGAAUCAACAUUCACCUGUCAUACAGUAUCAAUGUGGAUUUCCCUUUAUUUUGGUCUCUCUCAUGAAUUGGCCUGAUGAGUAUAAUAAUCUGUGUGCUUUUUCAGCAAAUGAACACAACUAAACAACUAUUUGUGGACUAUAUUGCUCCUUUGGUUGAAAUUCAGUAACUGUACAAAGAUUAGCAAUCAAACCAGGGACUUUAUAAAUCUAAAAGUUUCAAUAUUGUAUUUGGUGGGAUAUUUACUGAUAGAGACAUUGGGGCUUGACAAAAUUUACAUGCUAUCUUUGUAUGACCAGCUUCAAUAAAAAGAAAAUUCUCCCCUUCCUCAAUAUAUAUAUUUUGUUUCUCCGUGAUCCAGUCAGUGGAAGAACAGAUUUUUAAUUCAUAAAAUGUGCUCUAUCAAAUACUCUCUUGUUCCUGAACUAUGUUGAAAAAAAGCAUAAGUUCAUGGUUUACAACUCCCUGCAUGUAAAAUAAAGUUUUCUUGCAGUUUUGUGGGCACUUUUGCAGGUAAUAAUGAAAAGGGAUUUGGGUGAAACUGCACUAAUGUUGUCGAUAAUGUUGCAAUAACCUGAGUGAGCAUGGUUUCUUUCUGUUAAUAUAAUUUAGUUGCAAGGCAAUAUCCAAUGAAGCAAAUAUUUGACGUCCAUGUAUGUUAUAGAAGAUAUACAACUCUAAUCAGCACAUAGCACUGCUCCUUCUAACAUAUCAAUGAUUAUUUUUCAUUUGUUGAUGGGACAUGACACUGCGGGUAAGUUAUUCCCAUUUCUUCCUGGUCCUUAAGAACUUGGUAAUGAACCAUUGUAAUAAUUUGUCUUAUUGAACUGUUGUAUUUUAUGUGGUGUGGAUUUAUUCACAGUGCUGCUAGGCAGGGAGUCCCAAGAUUUUGAACCAGUAAAUAGAAAGUGAUAUAGUCCAAUUUAGGAUAGAGCUUAAUCUGCAAGUGAACCUAUGGUAAUGUUCCCCCAAUAUGCUUGUAGCCCUUGCCCUCCUCGGUCAUAGAUGUUGUUAGUUUAGAAAAUGUUGUCCUGGAAAAUAAUUAAUAGAAGCUUUCUAGUUGCAGUUAUUUCACACAAAUAACUUCCUACUGAAACAAACAUUUGCAUCCCAUGUAAUGGCCUCACAUUGACUAAAUGUAAGUCUUAUGCGCAAUCAAAUAAGCCUGGGUCUUGACAGCAUGGGAUAUGUUUUAAACAAUGCUGCUGGCAUGAGUGGUCAAGACAUUGUCAAUUAAUCAGUGGUACAUUGUCUUCCAGAGCUGAUAGUUUGUAAGACAAAGAAAGUGACUAGUUUGCAAAUAACAUUGAAAUGUUGAUGCCUGGGUCAUCAAUCCUUCAUUGCUCUUUUCUCUGUUUUCUUGGUCCCUACCAACUUUUGUAGUGUUUGAUAGCUGUUUUCUGUUGCAUGCAUCUUGUCAGGAUUCAUUUGUGGUUUUUUUGGGCUGCACAUGUUGCUGUAUUCAUCAGUAUGUGUUGCCCAUCUCCAGUUUCUCUUGGUGAGUUACACUUUUGAAGUACCCAAGUCUGAGCGACGUACGUUGAUCAACAGAACUGUCAGGGAGAGCUUUCCAGAGUUUUGACCUAGCAGCACUGAAGGAAGGGCAAUUUGGAUGGUGUUGGAAGUGAUUUUUGUCUCCCUUUUUUAUAAAACUGUUCUCAGUCGGUUGGAACAAGUAUAUAUUUUUUCAUUUUUAGCAUGCUUCAAUUAAACUUAGUUAACCAGAUUAAUAAUAAAGGAAAGCUAAUUCCAAGGUUUUCUUGAGUGAUAGAUUGGAGUGUUAUUAUCUCCCCCUAAAAAGAGUCACAUCAACAAAAACACACACACGUCCAGGCACAUACACAAACACGCACACACACAAACAGAGA